AUUGAACGCUGGCGGCAGGCCUAACACAUGCAAGUCGAGCGGAUGAGAGGAGCUUGCUUCUCGAUUCAGCGGCGGACGGGUGAGUAAUGCCUAGGAAUCUGCCUGGUAGUGGGGGACAACGUUGCGAAAGGAACGCUAAUACCGCAUACGUCCUACGGGAGAAAGCAGGGGACCGUCGGGCCUUGCGCUAUGAGAUGAGCCCAGGUCGGAUUAGCUAGUUGGUGAGGUAAUGGCUCACCAAGGCGACGAUCCGUAACUGGUCUGAGAGGAUGAUCAGUCACACUGGAACUGAGACACGGUCCAGACUCCUACGGGAGGCAGCAGUGGGGAAUAUUGGACAAUGGGCGAAAGCCUGAUCCAGCCAUGCCGCGUGUGUGAAGAAGGUCUUCGGAUUGUAAAGCACUUUAAGUUGGGAGGAAGGGUUGUAGAUUAAUACUCUGCAAUUUUGACGUUACCGACAGAAUAAGCACCGGCUAACUCUGUGCCAGCAGCCGCAGUAACAC
rnacentral:rRNA from 1 species